AUUGAACGCUGGCGGCAUGCCUUACAUAUGCAAGUCGAACGGCAGCAUAGGAGCUUGCUCCUGACGGCGAGUGGCGAACGGGUGAGUAAUAUAUCGGAACGUGCCCUAGAGUGGGGGAUAACUAGUCGAAAGACUAGCUAAUACCGCAUACGAUCUACGGAUGAAAGUGGGGGAUCGCAAGACCUCAUGCUCCUGGAGCGGCCGAUAUCUGAUUAGCUAGUUGGUGGGGUAAAAGCCUACCAAGGCAACGAUCAGUAGCUGGUCUGAGAGGACGACCAGCCACACUGGGACUGAGACACGGCCCAGACUCCUACGGGAGGCAGCAGUGGGGAAUUUUGGACAAUGGGGGCAACCCUGAUCCAGCAAUGCCGCGUGAGUGAAGAAGGCCUUCGGGUUGUAAAGCUCUUUUGUCAGGGAAGAAACGGUAGUAGCGAAUAACUACUACUAAUGACGGUACCUGAAGAAUAAGCACCGGCUAACUACGUGCCAGCAGCCGCAGUAA
rnacentral:rRNA from 1 species